rnacentral:tRNA from 1 species
GGCGGUGUAGCCAAGUUGGUAAGGCGUGAAAUUGCAAAUUUCACAUCCUCAGUUCGAGUCUGAGCAUCGCCU